rnacentral:rRNA from 1 species
AUUGAACGCUGGCGGCAUGCCUUACACAUGCAAGUCGAACGGCAGCACGGGAGCAAUCCUGGUGGCGAGUGGCGAACGGGUGAGUAAUAUAUCGGAACGUGCCCAGUCGUGGGGGAUAACGCAGCGAAAGCUGUGCUAAUACCGCAUACGAUCUCUGGAUGAAAGCGGGGGACCGCAAGGCCUCGCGCG